CGCUCCGCUGGGGCACCUUCACCAACGACUUCUUGGGCCAGGGCAUGGCCGAGAACACCAGCCACAAGUCCUAGCGGCCGCUCAGCGUCCUCACCUUCAAGUGCAUUCCUGUCUAGGGCUUCCCUUUGACCCAGGGCCGGGAAUAGUUGCGGGACUGGCUUGAAGGGAGUUUCUAGUUCUCAUCACGCCUUGGCCUCUCUGCCUCCCUGCCUCUCCCACUGCAGCUGUUCACGCCACCAGGCUCCCAGGUCCUCUCCAGGCUACUCUGGGUUCCUGGGACCAGGCGGGAGAGGCGAAGGGGAGUUCCCUUCGAGUUUCCAGAGUUUCCCGAGGUGUCUGCGUUCUAGGCUGUUUUCUCUGGACAGAUCUGGGAGUGGGCAGCUGUAGCCGCCACCUCACUCCCCUUCCGCCAGCCCCUCUGGAGGACACAUUAUUAUCCUGGUCAGGAAACAAAUCUGGCUUCUGCUCCAAAGGGAGACAUUAUCUCCAUCUUCAAAGACCAUUUGCUACACAAACAUCCUUGAAAAGUCAUCCAGGACAAAAGCUGUAAGAAAAGGCUCCCUGGGGAAGGAUGAAUUGAUGCUGUGUUGAACUCUCCCUGCACAAAGAAGAAAGUUUUCUGAGGAGGAGGAGCCCUGGUGAAGAGCAGGGGAAAGGGUGAAGAGGGAGGCAGAGAGGAAGGCCUCCUUGGCCACUGAAUGUGUGGUACGGUGGGGCUUUUACAAACUGUCCUUUUUAAAACCUAAAAUUUCAGGCCUGAAAUUAAAAUUUAGGUACAACAGGAUGGUGCAGAACAUUAACGUGGAGGGACAUUCAGAGUAUUUUUAUCAGAGCUUCUUAACUCAGUGAAACCACAGAACCAAUUCAGUCUGGUUCAGUGUUGUCCGUAACAGUAUGUAACAAAAUGAUGAAUUGUUUUUCAAUUGCAACAGACCCCCGGGUUGCAAGUCAAGUAACCAGAGCAUGCCCAGAUGAACCAAGCAUGUCAGAUUUGAGACUGUGGAGCUAAUCUGAAGGAAAAAAAGUCAUCCAUAAGCAGAACCUAAGUACUCAGAUCAAGGGACCAUGCCCAGUUAAGUGAGGGGUACCCUGUUUUGUUGCAGUACGAAAUUAAAAGCCAAGGACCCAACACCACAUCUUUGCAUCACCCAAACAGAUCACACUUCAUUGCAUCUGCCUAUCUUUCUCAUAGCUACUCUCUGCCUAUAAAACCUGCCCCCAGCCCCCAGCUCUGGGAGACAGACUUGAGCACUGCUCCCUGUCUCCUGGCCAAUUAACUUGCAAUAAAGCUUUU